rnacentral:tRNA from 1 species
AAGACCUUAUGUUAAAUAAACAAUUAACCUUCAAAGUUAAAAAUAUAAGUAAUAAUCUUAUAAGUCUUA